UCAAGAUAAAGUAAAUUGUUCAUCACACCUAAUAUUUAAAGGAAAAUAAAAUAAGAUAUCAUGUAUAUCAAGAUCGUUGUUCUUAGAUAAACAUACCGAUGUCACUGCCACUCGAUAUAAAUGAUUAUCAAUUACUGAAAUACCUGGUCGAUUAAUAGUUACACCGAUUCAUCAAUCUUCGACGAAGAAGAAGAACGUCGUUACACAUACACAUGUAAGCACGUAUAUACAUCGUACAAACACAGAUGGAACUGUCGUUCUUCUUCCACGACAAGAAAACGAGGAGUUCGCGUGCGUGUCUUGAAGCUAUGCAACGGGGAGAGAGAUCCAGGGAAGCUGGUAGAAGAGAUAAACCAAUACCGAGGCCGGUAGCGAGCAAUGCGUGACACGUUGAACCGUAUGUAUACGUGUGUGUUGGCGCCAGGCCGCAUUCUCGCAUUCGUUAACUAACACAUCGUGUUAGCCUCUCCGCAGCUCGUGCCUUGUUUUCCCUUGCCUUCCCCCUACCUCCACCUUCUCGUGCUCCACUCCACCCCUUCCUCCUCUAACCCUUUCAAUAUUAAGAGCGGUCACGGAUCCCAAAUUUGCCAUCCGUGGGGAGGCGGGGCACCGAUUUGUCCUCGUCCCGUUUGUACGCUACCGGUACUAAGGUGGUAAGAUGACCGGUUUCUACUGGUGUACAUCGGCCGCCAAUCGUGUUUUGGAAUAAAAACGGUUCUCCAGAGGAGACACUAUAUCCGUGUCCAGCUAUCGAAAUUUAUUGUCUCGACGAUUAUCAAUCGCGAUAUCAUUUCAUCCUUGAAAUCCGAUGACGCAUAUUUGUCAACUACGAAGACUAUACUUAUAAAACAAGAACUGUCUUUCAGUUCUUCAUCGUAUAUAUUUUAUGCAUAACUUCUUCUUCGAGCAUUUUCUCGUUUAUCUUUGUGGUCAAGGCAAGUUCCAUAUGUGGAAUAUAUAUAUAUAUCUGUUCAAGUGUGUUUGACAGAUAGAGCACGACAUAUUCAUGGAACGUGUUAAUGAUGCAAGUGAGGCGAAAAAUGGGUCCAGAAGUUUCUUUCUUCUCUCAUCGAAGA